GUGCUCCCCCGCCAAUUCCUUUAAGUUUCAGCCUUGCGACCGUACUCCCCAGGCGGCCUGCUUAAUACCUUCGCUCCGGCACUGCGUGACCACGAAGGCCACGCAACACCCAGCAGGCAGCGUUUACGGCUAGGACUACCCGGGUAUCUAAUCCGGUUUGCUCCCCUGGCCUUCGUCCCUCACCGUCGGAGCCGUUCAAGCUGGACGCUUUCGCCACAGGUGGUCCCCCCAGGAUUACAGCAUUUCACCGCUACCCCGGGAGUACCUCCAGCCUCUCCCGGUCCCAAGACCCGCAGUCUCCCCGGAAUUCCUGACGUUGAGCGCCAGGAUUUACCCAGGGAUUUACGGGUCCGGCUACGGACGCUUUAGGCUCAAUAAAAGCGGCCACCACUUGAGCUGCGGGUAUUACCGCGGCGGCUGGCACCCGUCUUGCCCAGCCCUUAUUCCUGGAGCUUUUUAGGCUCCAGAAAAGCCCUCCCCGAAGGAAGGGCACUCGGGCUCCCCUCGUCGCGCUUUCGCACAUUGCGAAGGUUUCGCGCCUGCUGCGCCCCGUAGGGCCUGGACUCGUGUCUCAGAGUCCAUCUCCGGGCUUCCCCUCUCAGGGCCCGUACCCGUCGUAGGCUUGGUGGUCCUUUACACCACCAACUACCUGAUAGGUCGCAGACCCAUCCUCGGGCGCCGGAGCUUUCGGCCUCGGAACCUUCCAGUAUCCGAGGUCUAUGGGGUAUUAGCCUCAGUUUCCCGAGGUUAUCCCCCACCCGAGGGUAGGUUGUCCACGUGUUACUGAGCCGU
rnacentral:rRNA from 1 species